GCUAGUGUGGUGUAGUGGUUUGAGUGUUGGGCUAUGACCCUGGAGAUCAGGGUUUGAUUCCCUACUGGAGCA
rnacentral:tRNA from 1 species